UUGGGAUAUAGCCAAGCGGUAAGGCAACGGUCUCUGACUCCGUCACGCGUAGGUUCGAAUCCUGCUAUCCCAGU
rnacentral:tRNA from 1 species